rnacentral:rRNA from 1 species
UACGUAGGUGGCAAGCGUUGUUCGGAAUUAUUGGGCGUAAAGCGCGCGCAGGCGGUUUCUUAAGUCUGAUGUGAAAUCUCGUGGCUCAACCACGAGCGGCCAUUGGAAACUGGGAAACUUGAGUGCAGAAGAGAAGAGCGGAAUUCCACGUGUAGCGGUGAAAUGCGUAGAGAUGUGGAGGAACACCAGUGGCGAAGGCGGCUCUUUGGUCUGUAACUGACGCUGAGGCGCGAAAGCGUGGGGAGCAAACAGGAUUAGAUA